UACGGAGGUGGCAAGCGUUGCUCGGAAUCACUGGGCGUAAAGGGCGCGUAGGCGGGGAGGUAAGUCGGGUGUGAAAUCCCUCGGCCCAACUGAGGAACUGCGCCCGAGACUGCUUCUCUUGAGUCCCGGAGAGGAAGAUGGAAUUCCCGGUGUAGCGGUGAAAUGUGUAGAGAUCGGGGAGGAACAUCAGUGGCGAAGGCGGCCUUCUGGACCAGUACUGACGCUGAGGCACGAAAAGCGUGGGGGAGCGAACAGG
rnacentral:rRNA from 1 species